CGACCAGACUCCUACGGGAGGCAGCAGUGAGGAAUAUUGGUCAAUGGGCGGGAGCCUGAACCAGCCAAGUCGCGUGAGGGACGACGGUCCUAUGGAUUGUAAACCUCUUUUGUCGGGGAACAAAGGCGCCCACGGGUGGGCGGAUGAGUGUACCCGAAGAAUAAGCAUCGGCUAACUCCGUGCCAGCAGCCGCGGUAAUACGGGGGAUGCAAGCGUUAUCCGGAUUUAUUGGGUUUAAAGGGUGCGUAGGCUGUGAGGUAAGUCAGCGGUGAAAUGCCCCCGCUCAACGGGGUGAAGUGCCAUUGAUACUGCCUUGCUGGAAUGCGGAUGCCGUGGGAGGAAUGUGUGGUGUAGCGGUGAAAUGCAUAGAUAUCACACAGAACACCGAUUGCGAAGGCAGCUUACCAAGCUACUUCUGACGUUGAGGCACGAAAGCGUGGGGAGCAAACAGGAUUAGAUACCCGCGUAUU
rnacentral:rRNA from 1 species